UAACUAGUUCAGAUAAAACAUUGAUUCUAUUUUCUUUAUUUUCGUGGAAUGAUCUGAUGUGUGAAAUAGUUUUGCUCAGUUUGAGAAGAAGUAAAGCUUGACUCCGUGCGCCUUGCCAGGACAGGCACAUCCAAACCUACAGCAGAUGCCUGCCACAUUGACAUGAAGAGGAAUUAAUGGGACAAGGAAUCAAAAAGUUGAAAAAAUGUUUGGAGCUGUCUUAAAAGCCACAUCAGUGCAUGGGUCCCUCAUCACUGGAAGCCAUGGAGGACCUAAACUCUGUGACUGUGG